rnacentral:rRNA from 1 species
GAUCCUGGCUCAGGACGAACGCUGGCGGCGCGCCUAACACAUGCAAGUCGAACGAGAGAGAAGGAGCUUGCUUCUUCGAUCGAGUGGCGAACGGGUGAGUAACGCGUGAGGAACCUGCCUCAAAGAGGGGGACAACAGUUGGAAACGACUGCUAAUACCGCAUAAGCCCACGGGUCGGCAUCGACCCGAGGGAAAAGGAGCAAUCCGCUUUGAGAUGGCCUCGCGUCCGAUUAGCUAGUUGGUGAGG